UACGUAGGAGGCAAGCGUUAUUCGGAAUUAUUGGGCGUAAAGGGCGCGUAGGCGGCUUUUCAAGUGACGGGUGAAAUCCCUCGGCUUAACCGAGGAACUGCCUGUCAGACUGGAAGGCUUGAGACCGGGAGAGGUGAGUGGAAUUCCCAGUGUAGCGGUGAAAUGCGUAGAGAUCGGCAGGAACACCCAGGGGGAAACCAGUGGACUGGCACGGUGCUGACACUCAUGUGCGAAAGCGUGGGGAGCGAACCGG
rnacentral:rRNA from 1 species